rnacentral:rRNA from 1 species
AUUGAACGCUGGCGGCAGGCCUAACACAUGCAAGUCGAACGAGUGGCGGACGGGUGAGUAAUGUCUGGGAAACUGCCUGUUGGAGGGGGAUCACUAGUGGGAACGGUAGCUAAAACCGCAUACCAUAGGAUGUACCCAGAUGGGAUUAGCUAGUAGGUGGGGUAAAGGCUCAACUAAGCGUCGAUCCCUAGCUGGUCUGAGGGGAUAACCAGCCACACGGGAACUGAGACACGGCCCAGACUCCUCGGGGGGGAAGCAGUGGGAAAUAUUGCACAAUGGGGGCAAGCUUGAUGCAGCCAUGCCGCGGGUAGGAAGAAGGCCUGCGGGUGGUAAAGUACUUUCAGCGGGGAGGCGUUACCCGCAUAAGAAGCACCGGCUAACUCCGUGCCAGCCGCCGCGGUAAUUC